rnacentral:rRNA from 1 species
UACGUAGGUGACCAGCGUUGUCCGGAUUUACUGGGCGUAAAGAGCGCGCAGGCGGUCGUUCAAGUCGAGUGUGAAAGCCCCCGGCUCAACUGGGGAGGGUCACUCGAUACUGAUCGACUUGAAGGCAGGAGAGGGAAGCGGAAUUCCCGGUGUAGUGGUGAAAUGCGUAGAUAUCAGGAGGAAUACCGAUGGCGAAGGCAGGUCUCUGGGCUGACACUGACGCUCAUGCACGAAAGCGUGGGGAGCAAACAGG